AGUUAUUGUUUGUUAUUGCACCAGCACAUUUGAAUGCACUAGUAAUACAUUAAAGUGAGUUUGAGUCUCUCAUGUGGGACUCGAGGACUCGUGAUUGAUGUCGCAGACAUCAAAACUGGCCCAAUUUUAAUCCCUACUAGCCUCUAGUGUUCUUGAGUAUGUUUCACUGGAGUUGCAGGUACUUCCACGUCUCAAUCUUGUAGGUACACGUGCAACCUUGAGAGCUUAUGAUCAGGCAAGCUGUUAAUUUGAAGUUGUAGGCUGUUAACUCUUGAUUUGUAGAUUCUGUUGCCUUGAAGCAAAUGAUGGUUUAGUACUGAUUUUUUUUUUUUUUUUUUUUUACUGCACCAUAUGAAGUCUAGAGAUUAGAAGGUGAAACUUUUUUUUUUAAUCAUUUCAUUUUACUGUACUACUAUUUCUUGAUGAUGGUAUGUGUACAAUAUUUGGCACAGUGUACCAAUUAGUGCUAUGAUACUGUCACUUUAAAAUCAAGCGUGUAAAAUUACUUAUACAUAGAAUACGUGGAAAUGGCAAUGUUUACUGAUGUGACUAUUACUGUGAGCAGUGCCAUAUGUUUAGAUAUGACCGUAAUUUUGUUCUGCUACCCGGAAAAAAAGGCCUUGUUUAGUGUAAAGAGUGAAUGAUUUCCCUCAUUAAUUUUUUGAAAACGUUUCCAUUGUCGCUCAACGCUUCUUUGGCAUCAUAGUGAAUAUCUGUCCGUUUACUGGAAUGUCUCGAAUCAAACCACAAGAGGGAGCUCGCUCCUCAUUUUGCCAUAACUAGCAUUUCAGGGUUUCUUUCUUUUGUGCUAAUUCUCAUAUCACUUUGGGAGUAUGCACAACGCUAUACUGUUAAUUAAAACAAUAGAACAAACAUCAUGGCCACAGUGUUUGUCUUAAGGCUUCAAAUGUCUGUUUUGUUUUGUUUUUUCAGUAAAACGACACGCAUACACUAACUCAGUGUUUCCCAACCGGGGUGCCGUCUGUCGAGAGCAGGGGUGCCGUGUAAAAAAUCCUUUUUUAAUAUUUUUAAUUUGCUAAAAUGUUCAAAAAAAGCAUCUAUUAUAUAAUAUCCAUUUCUGAUGUCGCCAAUAAUUAGAGAUGCACCGACAUUUCGGCUGCCGAAAAUGAGUUCACCGCUCAGGUUUCACUUUCACGUGGUGUGACGCUCUGCGUAUUAUCCCUCUCUAUGCGUGUGCGCUCCGCUCAGUCGCUCCACUCCUAUACCGUUCAUGCUCAAAAAUUGAGCCGACAGGAAACAUCGAUGUAGUACAGUAUUGUUUCUGUUUGCAAUAGCCCUACUGUGCUGUAACAUGGUGUGGUAUAUGGGCAACUCUGGUAACGCUGCCCUCUCAUUCAUU
rnacentral:lncRNA from 1 species